GCCGCCGAGGCCCGCCCCACUGACCGUGGCGCCUGAAGGGGCGGAGGAAAGCGCUUCCGCGCAAGCGCGUUCGCGUGCUCUCGCCUUCUAGAGAAGUUACUGCGCAGGUUCGCGCGGAACCUACGGAGAGACCAGUAGGUCUUGGAGGGCUAGGUUUGCCACUUUUCUGGACUUUUUACAAUUUUUAAUGCCACCGACUACUACUUACUGGACGCAUGUGGUACACCGGCCACAAUGCUAACCAUACAAUUACAGCGUUCACUCAACGUGAAUGUAUUGAACGAUUCCUACGUAGCAGUGAGCACUUUGGGUCCCUAACCAGGUCCCAGGAUUCCUUUGAUGGGAGCAGAGAAAUCGUUACCACAUUUUCCACAAUUUGUCCACCGCUUCCCACCCUCCAACUUGGUCUGCUAUUCUCCCCUUCCCAGAAAGUUUAGCGCACUUCGCAAGGCCGCGUUAUGACUUUCGUGGAACCGCGACACAUUGGCCUUGUGUUUGUGGAGUCCUAGAUUGGAGCGCGGCAAAGAGAUGUUCAUCAUCAGCAUGUGGUGUAAAUGACACAAGCUGGCGGUCAGCUGGAAGAUACAGCAAAUGUCCAAGGGGCUACCCAUUCCUAGGGAGAGAGAAUUGGGAUCACUCCAGCUUCUGAUGGUGGCUGUCAAUCCUUGCUCUUGCUUGGCUUCAAGGUACAUUGUUCCGAUCUCUGCUUCUGUCAUCAGCCACAUGGCAUUUUUCCACUGGUGUUUCUGUGUCCCUUGUCUCUGCUUGUAAGGACACAGUUCAUAUUGGAUGAAGGGCCUCUCUUGCUCCAGCAUGACCUCGUCUUAAUUGCAUCUGCGAAGACUCUAUAUCCAAAUUAGGUCAAAUUCACAGGUAUUAAGGGUUAGGACUAUUUCAACAUACCUGAUGUGGGACACAAUUCAAGCCACAUUGCCCAUUAAAAGAUUUUCAAAAAACUCUGAA